rnacentral:rRNA from 1 species
UGGGGAAUAUUUCGCAAUGGGGGAAACCCUGACGCAGCGACGCCGCGUGCGGGAUGAAGGCCUUCGGGUUGUAAACCGCUUUUGAAUGGGAGCAAGCUUUCGGGUGAGUGUACCUUUCGAAUAAGCGCCGGCUAACUACGUGCCAGCAACCGCGGUAAUACGUAGGGCGCAAGCGUUAUCCGGAAUUAUUGGGCGUAAAGAGCUUGUAGGCGGUUCGUCGCGUCUGGUGUGAAAGCCCAUCGCUUAACGGUGGGUUUGCGCCGGGUACGGGCGGGCUAGAGUGCAGUAGGGGAGACUGGAAUUCUCGGUGUAACGGUGGAAUGUGUAGAUAUCGGGAAGAACACCGAUGGCGAAGGCAGGUCUCUGGGCUGUUACUGACGCUGAGAAGCGAAAGCGUGGGGAGCGAACAGG